CACAUCCAUAAACUUUCCGAAAGGGUCAUAUCGAGGUUGUUGUUUUUUUAUUAUUAUUCUGAUGUGUUUGUCCGAUAGCGCGUAAGGAUCAAGGGUCUGUUGGUGCUGUGUGGCAAAUCUCAGCUGAUCGAUCAACCUUAAUGCAGACAUUUGAACCUAAUGCCAUUAAAGCAGUGCACGUAUUUUCUCUAACUUUUAAGAUGUCUAAGGCCACAGAAUGGGGUGCCACAACAAGAAGGCCUUUCAGGCUCUUUCAGCGGGGAUUAGAGAAGCCGCUGCUCUCCACGGCUCAGUAAUGUGACUAUAAUUCCUCUGUGAUUUGUAGCCUUACUGCAAUCUAAUAAUUCUAUAAAUUGGGGGAAAACCCCCCAAAACGGAUCAAACAGGCUUGAAAGCAGCAAACACACUGAAUGAAGGGACUUUUACCGAAGCUCGGAGGGAGAGAUUUCAACUGCGGGACCCUGUGAACCACAUGUCUAGACUUUGCCUCUCCAUCUCUGCACCUAGGAAAGAUGGCCGGUUCCUCCCAGGGGAGAAAGCAGUCUGAGAAGUCAUAGCACAAGCUUCUGAUCAUGUUCACGACGGAUCCGGAGACUAUACCAGGAACACCUGGCAGGAAGAUACCCUACGACCUGGAUGGUACAUUCUAGUACUGGGGAGAGGUGAAUGCGAGUCGCUUGAAUGUGAUUGAAUAUUAUUGUGGAGCAGUUUGAGUAAGCAUGAUUACCGAUUCGAUUUUAAGUACUAAAUAUUUCUAAAUGUUUUUAUACAUUUUUUUAGAUGAUUUGAAAAGGUACCGAUCCUAUCCACACCAACAGCUAGCUGAUGUCCUGUCAGGGUUAUCUUAUCUGUGGCUAAUUAAGCGGUAAGACAUCUAAGAUUGUUCCUAGGACAGGCUCCGAAUCCACCGUGAACCUGAUCAGGAUAAAGAUGAAUGACCACAUCCUGGACUGGUCAUCAUUUGCCUGAUGAAGAAUUUAGUUCUUGGCAUGAAUGACCAUGAUUUCUAAUUUCAAGACAUUUCUCCUGUUUCUCACCGUGUGCGAAUUUCUCAGAAUCAGCUGCCUCAGAAGGGGUCAUUGUAUUUAAAAAAAAAAAAAACAAAACACAAUUUACAAGACUACAGACUGAUUCAGAGACUACCGAUUUCCGACCACGCCGUUCACGGAAGGACAUUUGGCACCUGCGCUACAGCUCGGCAUCCCUGAGAGAAGCUACCUGAGAUCACAGAGAGUUUAUACAGUCCAGAUACCCAUGUCUUAUCACACACCCAUGCGGGUCCGAUAGCACAAAAUCAACACAGAGUCAUGAAUGAAAUCUCCGGAGGGCUAGACCUCACAAGAAUUCGCUCCAUUUCCUCAAACGCGUAGGAGAGUCGAGAACAUAGGGGAGAUUCUAUCAGGACUCGAUCCCUUUCACACUAGCUACUCUGUUCGUUUUGUGGAACACUACGGCUUGUCUUCAUGCGUUCAUGACUGUGUGACCUUUUUCUCUGCAGUUGGUGUAAAUAAUAUUGUCUAGCUGUCAGGGACUGUAAAUUCUAUGAAAAAGUGGUGCUCAGCACACCAACUUUGAGAUUUUUCAUACAGGUUAUUAAUAGGACUGUCAAAGUAUGUCUGGCAUCUCAUACACCAGGACUAUGGAGAUGGAAAUGCAGAUUUUAUCUCCCCCCCCCCCCCUUUCCCCCCCCCUAGAUGCAUGUUAGCCAUAUGAUCUGUCUGUUCUCACUGGCUCAAGAACAAAAGUCAUCAGUCCAAACAACGGUGAUCUAGUGAGUGAAAAUAUGACUUGCAAACUUAACAGAUGGUAAAUUAUGACUCUAUUAGUGAGCAGAGAGCUGUGUUUUGUGGGUAAUGAGAUCAGUCUCACUCGACAACCCAUAAAUCCAUGCUUUGAUUAGCACAUCUGCUAUUAUGAAAGAGGCGUUUAUUCAAAGAACAAAACCAGCAGUCGCUUUUCUGUAUUGCUGAAUGGUUCUUGCUUAUUAUGGUGGCGUGGCAUAAACCAACUCGUACGUAUAAAGUUAAGGUGAGUGCGCAUAGCGGGGAUAUAUAUAUAUAUAUAUAUUAUAUGGCUUCCUCAAGUGUUCUUUGGACGGUUAAGUGAUUGGGUUGCUCUAUAUACUGAUUAUUGAUAUUAUUAAAGAAUAUUGUUGGAAUACAGUGGAAAUGAAGUCAAACUCGAAAUCAAAUAAUCACUCCAGCUUUUUCAGUUUCAAGUCCUACAAAAAUUGCAUGAGAUCGAAUUGAAUUUCAACACUAGUGCCCUCUCCACCUGUGUACAUAUAAGAAAUACAACCAUUACAAAAAAUUGUGUGCUUGCUCUCAACUUAUAAUGAAACUAGAUGAUGUGUUAAUGGCAUAUACUGCUUGGUUGGUUUUGACCACAUUUAGAGGGUGUUUAGGAGCUGUGUGUUUGAGUGUUGG